rnacentral:lncRNA from 1 species
GAACACAAAAUGGCGACACGUGGUUAGCAUUCGUCGCCAACGAGAAAUUGGGGUCGGCCCGAAAGCUCUAGAAUGCACCCCUCUUCCUCCCCGGGGCCUUCCACCUCCGCGAGUUUUAUGACUUAAAAAAGCCCACAGGCUGGUCUGAAGGUCGGAGGCCUAAUUUUAACGCGUUUUCCUCCCUUUAAUUUGAAACGGGAACGCGAAUGACUGUAAAAUGUGGGCACAAUAUUUAAUCUCUCGCCUUUUUAAAGCUUAAUAGUGGAUAAUAGGGGGGCAGUAUCAAGGGAUAAUUUGGGUCCCCACAGUACCAAAGCAUUUAGAAACCUCUGUUUAAUUUAAGGAAUGAGAUAAGUUACUGCUUUUCUAGACUUCCUAGCAUGGGCUGUUGUGCUGGAGAGAACGAGAGCUACGAAGAGACUACAGUGCCUCUGACUUUUUCAUAGGACAGUUGGCCGAGGAAGACAAACAUAAAGAUGAAGUGCUUAAUUCAAGGUCACACAAUGUCGGGGAUGGACCUCCAGAUUUCCUUACUGGUGGAGUCUCACUCUGUAGCCCAAGCUGGAGUGGCGUGAUCUCGACUCACUGCAACCUCCGCCUCCUGGGAUCAAGUGAUUCUCGUGCCUCAGCCUCCUGAGUAGCCGGGACUACAGGUACGCACU